AGAGUUUGAUCCUGGCUCAGGAUUAAUGUUGGCAGUGUGCCUAACACAUGCAAGUCGAACGAUAUAGUGGCAGACGAGAGAGUAAUAACAAGGAACUUACCCCGAACUCAAGGAUAGCUCACCGAAAGGUGAGGUAAUCCUGGAUAGUCUCGCAAGAGUAAAGCUUUCGCGGUUCGGGAGAGGCCUUGUCCCUAUCAGCUAGUUGGUGAGGUAAUGGCUCACCAAGGCGAUGACGGGUAGCUGGACUGAGAGGUUGACCAGCCUCGAUGGGACUGAGACACGGCCCAUACUCCUACGGGAGGCAGCAGUUGGGAAUUUUGCACAAUGGGCGAAAGCCUGAUGCAGCAACACUGCGUGAAGGAUGAAGGUUUUCGGAUCGUAAACUUCUUUUAUCUGGGAAUAAUCUGAAGUACCAGA
rnacentral:rRNA from 1 species